rnacentral:lncRNA from 1 species
AGGUGAGACUCAAGUGCAUUUGGUCCAGGGUCAUCACAACGUGGGGAACGGGAAGAGUAAAUAAUAGAACCCUCUAGCCAGAAAGGACUAGGCAAAGAGUAGUAUUUGUUUUCCGACGGUUGGCAGACGUGCAGUAGGAAGUGGCUUAAAGGGUGGGAGACGUGGCUUCCUAAGAUGACGGGAGCUCCAGACCAAAGGGACCACGUGAAGGAAAAGCUCUGAGAGCAGCAGAAAAGAAAGCAUGCUGUGGGGUGGCGGUGGGGGUGGAAAAGGUAGCCACAGUGAGACGAGCUGUUAAUUAAGGGGAUGCAAUAAUCUCCCAUUUAUUUGUAACGUGCGAGACGUUUGCUUUUGUGAGGAGACAGGCGACAAGCUGACAGCUACAGAAGUGAAUUCCCGGCCGUGCGGCGGCCCAGUGCCCUCCUGCGCAAUUUCCUAAGAUGUCUACACCAGCGGCGCUGAUGGGCGAUAACCGAUUCGUAUCAGCUCAGCCCUGCAACGGUGCCCAGCUCGGGGUGACUUGAGAAUCGCCAAAGAGUGUCCCCUCAUCAGCGCCACUGAAUUAUUAAGUGAACUCACUGGCUUCAAAGUCGUUGGAAACCAAAUGUUCCUAGAGAGCACAUUUGGAAACUUUGCUGUGAAGACCUGAACCAUUUGUGGUAAAGAGAGGCCCCCUCCCAGGGUAGGCAGGUCAGCCCUGCCAGUGGCUUCCUCAAGGGGGGGGUGAACUAGAGCCAGGGAACAGUCAGCAUUGAACGCUGAGGCUGUGGUCGAGAGCAGAGACGGUGGGGCGACCGCACCAAACAGGAAGUGAGGUCAGCCACAGUGGAGUUCAGAAGUAGACCGGUCCACGGGACGGACAUGGCUGCACCUUGACAGCUGGGCUCCACAGGCAUCGGUCCCGGGUCAGAGUCUAAUGCCCCUGCUUCCUGUCACUCUGCAGUGAACAGAACACACGUGUCACCCCAUACAUAGAUUUAUGUUAGCCGGAGGCAUCAUGAAACUUUCUUCCUGUUCCCCUUUCACAGAAGGGGGAUGAAAGUAAGUGUGUGCCUCCAGGGGGUUGUUUCGGAUAAAAGUACUCGUGGGCUUCUCCAAAGUGCCUCUGAUCAUCUGUUCGAAAACUAUGGCUCGGCCCAGUAAUUCUACUGAAGGAGUCACCAUACUUGAUUGUAUGACUUGGCAUGAAAUUCGACCUGUGCUGCAUGAUCUUGGCAGACAGGCAAGGUCUGUAGUAUUUUGUUUGUGGUUAAUGGAAGAAAGCAUAUGAGGAUUGUUGGGGAAGGUAGGCUAACGUCAUCUUUAACCCAGGCCGAGCCACCUAACUCUGGGGGAUCACCAAAAGCAGGAGGACACCGUUAAGGCCGUGAUCGCUGAAAAGGAGCGAGUGACCCAUUACUCUGUCCCCAGCACUUGUGCUGUGUUGAGCCUCUCUCUGAGCCUCUGCAUCGGCCUCUCUCCGAAGUUCUGCAUGUUCGCUGAAGAGUAUAUAUAAUAUUCAUCAUAUGUACCAUGUCUUUUCUUUUCAGAUCUUCUUACUACACAGUAAUUGUCACCUCUUCUUUUAUUUUUUUUAAAUUUUUUACUGUUUUGUUUAUUUUUGAGAGCGAGAGAACGAGAAUGAAUGGAGGAGGGGCAGAGAGAGAGGGAGACCCAGAAUCUGAAGCAGGCUCCUGGCUCUGAGCUGUCAGCACAGACUUCCACGUGGGGCUCGAACUUGUGAACCAUAAGAUCACGACCUGAGCCGAAGUUGGAAGCUUAACCAACUGCGCCACCCAGGCGCCCCAAUUGUCACCUCUUCUUAAAAACACGCACGAAAAUCACACGCACCAGUGGGUCUCAAGUGGGAGCGACUUUGUCCCCCAGGGGACAUCUGGCAAUAUCUGGAGACAUUUUUGGUUGUCACAACUGGGGAGGGGGUGCUAUGCUACUGGCAUUUAAUAGGUAGGGGCCAAGGAUGCUGCUAAACAUCCUACAGUGCACAGGACAGCCCCCACCACAAAAAAUUAUCCUGUGCAAAAAUGUUCAUCUUGCUGAGGCUGGGAAACACUGAGAAAGACAUAAAGACAUGGCAUUGAACUCAAUAGAUACCUUAAAACUUGGGUUUUGUCUGUAUCUGUUAUCCGCCCAAUGAAAGAGUUAUUUGGCCAUGCAAUUCCCCAGUGUGGACGGUCACAUAAAGUCCCUGAAGGUACAAUAUUUGAUUGUCGGUUUAUUAUGGUGACAGAACGGGGAGGGGGAAGGACGACUCGGCUCAUCCAUCUCAACUGUCUAAAUGAGUCAGAAGAGCUCUACGGUAUCAGGGCACUUGUGCAGAGCACUCCAUUCUGUCACCAGCUACCCCUGUGCCACCUUGACCCCCACCGCUCUAGGCUUGGAUUUCUUCAGCCACAAAAUAGAGAACCUGUCUACGCCACCAGCUGGAUUUGACACAGACUGUGUCCCAACACUUUGCGACUUGUAUAAAGACAAUAAUAACGAGGGGAUUGUUGUCAUGACUGGCUGGUCCGAUGUCCUAAGUGCCUCUCCAAUAGGCGAACUGCUUUCCACCUCCGGUCCAGCUGCCAUCCUAUGUAGGCCAUCCUUCUCUCAUCUCUCUGUGGCCCAAAUACCAGGAUCCACUCUGGCUCCUCCUCGCGCUCCCCUCCAUCCUGGGCUCAAAGCAGGCGCUUCAAAAUGCAAAUCUGAUCAAGUCGCCAAAAGGCAUCAAGGACGGCACCCAGCUGGAAGGAUGGAGUCACCAUAAACUGAAUGUGGGAAAACCGUGGGAGGAAAGGUUGGGAGGAGAACAUUAGCCGCUAACACACAUUUUUGUCACGAUGGUAAAACGAGAGGACAGUUGUGCUAUGCUUUGGAAAAGUGUAACACUAUAUAAAUGUAGGAUGCUCUUGUCUACUCAAGUGUUUGGGUUUCUCUCCUUGUGACCAUUAUAACCAUUGAAAAGGAGGAGUGAAGAGUCCACAGCAACUCUUAACAUUCUCACUAUUUCAUCAUCUCUUUGGAAGGCUGGCCAAAUAGCUGGCACACAAUAGGCACUCUACAAAUGUUUGGUGCGUGAAUAGAAUGCGAACCACCGGUUUCUUACAGGCAGUCUCACCCCGGACGGACGAAGAAGCACUGAAGGGAGAACAUUAAAUGCUUGCCGUGUGGAUGAUAUCUCAGAGUAGGCAAGAGGUACUGAGAACACACAGAGGGUAAUUCUUUUUCAGGAAGACAAAGACCAAAAAAGAAGAAAAAAAAAAAAACAAGCCUCCAAGCCCCAGGACAAUACCCAGUGGGGCAGAACCAUGUGGAGCAAAGCAAGUGGAAUAUUUGUGCUAAAAGGCAAAACAAGCUUUUGAAAUUAACCUAAACCAGCAUGGGGGCAGCGGACGAAAGGAGCAGUGCUAGAAGAGAUAUUAAGCCAUAGAGGGUUAUGUUAAUAUGGAAAGCGAUGGGUCACACUUAAUAAAGAACAUUCUUUUGACUUGUGACUGGUACAUCUCCCUGAAGUAAGCACGAAAAACUUCAGAGGAGCUGGGUGACUUCUUCCAACCUGAAAGCCAACAAAUUCCCUCUGGAAUCUUCUUUUUUAUAGUCCUAAAUCAGAAAAUAUG